CUGCAAUAGUUUUCAAGGAUCAUUUCUAUAGUCUGUGUCAGUAAAAUCCUAUACUAAAAAGUUCGGUCUCCAUAACCAUGAUGAGGAACUGCAGUAUUUUCUCCUGAGUACAAAGCUGUUUUCACAUGUUGUUUUAUGCAUUGGCCUGUGACCAUUGAUGACCAUUCCCUUCUCUCGUUGUGGGAUUUGUGGAGGGAGAAAAAGCAGUGGU